rnacentral:snoRNA from 1 species
CAUGCACAUUGUUAGAGCUUGGAGUUGAGGCCACUAGCUGGCUGAUGAACUCACAAAUGUACAUAGUAUGCUACAUGAGGGGCAAGUCUUUCACUAACACAAGGGUCUUUGGCCCAAUGAGUGGAAUUUGAUAGUAAUUCUUGCUAUAAGU